rnacentral:rRNA from 1 species
AUUGAACGCUGGCGGUAUGCUUAACACAUGCAAGUCGAACGGUAACAGGCCUUCGGGCGCUGACGAGUGGCGGACGGGUGAGUAACGCGUAGGAAUCUGCCUCAUAGUGGGGGACAACGUGUGGAAACGCACGCUAAUACCGCAUACGCCCUACGGGGGAAAGCGGGGGACCUUCGGGCCUCGCGCUAUGAGAUGAGCCUGCGUUAGAUUAGCUAGUUGGUAGGGUAAAGGCCUACCAAGGCGACGAUCUAUAGCUGGUCUGAGAGGACGAUCAGACACACUGGGACUGGGAAACGGCCCAGACUCCUACGGGAGGCAGCAGUGGGGAAUAUUAGACAAUGGGCGCAAGCCUGAUCCAGCAAUACCGCGUGUGUGAAGAAGGCCCUAGGGUUGUAAAGCACCUUCAAUAGGGAGGAAAACCUGUCGGUCAAUACCCGGCAGCUUGACAUUACCUAUACAAGAAGCACCGGCUAACUCCGUGCCAGCCGCCGCGGUAAAAC